rnacentral:lncRNA from 1 species
UGACAUGGUUUCAUAAUCACUGAGAUAAUCAUAAAACAAGAUACUCAAGUACUCUCCCAUCUCUUCAGAUUAGAGAAACUUUUAUCUUUCUGCCUUAUUUGAUUCUUCUUACUCAUUAUGUCUAUCAUUGAAACUUCUCCAAUGAUCCAGAACUAUACUUAAACUUGUAAGUAUAACCAUAUUUACUAAACUUUAGUAAAUCAUAAUGAAUAAUCCUAUCAACUUUGUGGUGGACCUGAUCAGCGCACACCCAAGUGUAUCCGAUCCCUUUGUCCUUCACUUGAUUCACAUAUACAUGUGAACAAGGAAUUAGACUUAAUUUCCCAAAUAUAUAAAAAAAUUCUCAUGAUCAUACAAUACAAGUUGCAUGAUUCCAAGUUUCUAUCCAACUGAAACUUGGGUGAUGAGAAUCUUUCAUUAUUUGGUAAAUUAUGACACUUCCACUAAUGAAAGAAUUUAAUCCAUUUACCCAUAUUACUUAUCAAUGGAUACAUAUAAUCAACAAUUUUUUCACAAAUUCCACUGUAAGGAUACUUAAAAUAAAUAAAAUCAAAACCAUUUUUCUUUUAUUUUAAAACUUUGCGGAAAAAUUUAUCCUUACAAUCCAUAUGGAAAACUUGUUGUUAUCUAUUCCUAAGCAAUAUAUCAUAACUCUUAAGUAACAACUCAAAAUUCUGAUCACCGAACCAUGCGAUCGAAAUCCAUCUUCGCGAUCAGAAUCAGCAUAUACUUCCUUUAAGUUUCUUCACCUUUUCUUUGAUUCUUAAAACAUCAACAUGUGACCUCGUCACAUUAUGCAAUAAGAAUCUCAGAAUAGAAACUUAAUAGAGUUAGACAAUGGACUUUACCUGAAGUAGAGUCAAACCUAUUGACUUUACCAUCCUUAAGAUGUUUCAGGUAAAUUUAGCAGCUUCGCAACCAAUGUCUUUCCUUUGGCAACAGAAUCAUAUGGACUCUUUGGAAACGGUACAUGGGACUAUCACAGACUUAACCUUUCUCUUUACCAUUUGGUCAACCGAGUUGACUAUGGCCGAUCCCUUUCCAUUGGGAAGAGAAAGUUUUUCCUGGACCUCCAAUGUCACCAUUUUCAAUGUCCAAAUAGGUUUGGAAAGUAGAUCUUCCAAUCCAAUUUGCUUUACUAAUGCUCCAAAUCACUGCUGAUUUAGCAUCAUCAAGCAAAUAGGUAAGAUCAUUAAGGGUCUUGUCGCGACCUGUCAUCAGGGAGUGACUGAAGAACCAAGUCAGCAGCCAGCUACCUCGAGACUUCGACACCCGACUCUCCCGACUUGUCAAUAUGUGGCUUAAUCCCCAAGAUCUAAGCACAUAUAGACUUUGCUUGCCAAUAGGGAUUGAGUGACUUAGAACUUAUCAAGUCUUAAAACUUGUGGGAUAGGGAGAUUUAUUGGAGGAGGUGGAUGAAGUGAAGUAUGAUUUCUAGUCCCACAAAUGCCCAACAAAGGGAUUGAUCUUUCACCUUGAUUGCCAUUUGGGAUAUCAUCUUCAUUAGGAAGCUUGUUCCUAAAGAUUUGGGAAGACCAUAGCUGUCUAAACUAGACAUCUAUAAUGGGAGAAAUUCAAGUUAGUUGAUUUAAAGUCCUUAAUAUAACACCCAAUAUGAAAUAUUAAGGCUAGGACCCAACAACCUAUUUAUAACUGGAAGAGGGAUGCCGUAAUCCAAAUUAUAAAAUAGUUGAAGGUAGGUAAAUGACGAUUUACCAAUUUCCACCAUGAAAACGAAAUAUUUUAUUAUUAGGUUUUAUUGGUUUUGAAACUCCUAGAUCUUUUGAGAUACAUUGAACUUUUCAAUGGCAUGUUUGAAUCUCGAUUGUGCCCUCUCAAAUUUGUGACUGGGAUGCCGAGGAUCACAAACAAGGUGUGAAUAACCAUACAAAUUGACUUGGUACCCUUAACAAUAUUACCUAAUCGAUGUGCCGGUUAACCACACACGCUCCACCGAUCUAUAAUAAAGUCAAGUUACCCUUUGCCACUCUUACUAGUCCAUGUUAGUGUGCCGGUUAACCACACACGCUCCACUAACGACUUGGUAAGGUACAAAGUGUAAUUUUAUGGGCUAGCACCUUUUCACAUUUUCCUAAGUAACUAAGAUUGGGAAUUUAUAAGUGUUUAGUUACUUAGUAUUUUUCAUUAUACUUUUAAUGAAGGGAGAAUUAUAGUCCAUUCCUACCCGUUCGGCUAACGACCCUCCACCAGUCAAGGAAGCGGUGGGUGAGAGUGGACACCCAUUAAACUGCCAUUUUAUAGGCAGUAACCUUAUACCCCCCUUAUAGACCGGCUUCGUGAAUGAGGCCUACUAACGGUAAGAUUGACUUCCUCUUAUACAUAUCUAUAUAAUUAAAAUUAUAAUAAUAGUAUAAGGGUUGAAUUUUAAACUUUUUAAAAUUUCAAUGUUCAAUUUGGAAUUAAAGUAUACAUGAGGAGUAACUUUUCAAAUUCCAAAACUUGAGGGCAAGUUUUGAAACUAUUUCAAGACUCUUUAAAUCAUAACUUAUGAGUUUAAUGGUUCAUUAAAAUGAAGACUCUUCAUUUUAAUGUAACCCCUUAUUCUUUAAAAACACUUUAAAGAAGUGUCUCUUCAACAUCCAUAACUUGAGGACAAGUUAUGGAGUCAUUAAACUAUUUAAUGGAAAAAACUCUUACAUUUUAUGUAACCUACAAAACUUUUAUGAGUUUUUAAGAUUCAUAAAUAUGACUUUUCACAUAACUUGAAGACAAGUUACAAAAACAUAUUUUAUGAACUUCUUUUAGACUAAUAUGGAUUGAAAACAACUAAAACAUAAUUUUUUCAUUAUCAAUCUAAACUAACUCAUAAAUCAAGGAAACAUAAAAUUCUUGAAAAUUCAUAACUUGAGGACAAGUUAUGAACUCCAUACAAUUUUCAACAAGAUCAUGAAUUAUAUCAACAAACAAUUUGCACACAAUUCCUAUGAUCUAGCAAAACUCAUAAGCAUGAUCAUUCAUAAUCAACAAUUUUCAAGAAUAACAUGAACACAUAUAAACUUGAAACUUUUAUUAUAGCAUUGAAAUUGGUUUAACAUAAUCAUUACCACAUUCAAAACAAGUUUUAUAAGCCCAAAACAGUCAAAGGUAAUGAUUCUAGACCAAUUCCAGCACCAAAACUCGAAAAUAUGCUGUCUGGGGGUCCAACUCGUCGAGUGCAUGAACAAACUCGGCGAGUUGGAUGCAUUUUGCCUUGGACUCGUCGAGUCCCUUCAUGGACUCGGCGAGUCUGCUGGGCAGACAGCACCAAAAGUCGAUUUUUAAGCAGUUUAAGCAAGUACAACAAGAAAACAAGCCUAGGCUCUGAUACCACUGUUGGGUUUUGAGCAAUCUAACACUCCUAAGUGUACAUGCAACCCUAAAUACCUUGGAUCUAUGUUUUCUCUAUUAUACAUGCAAAUAUCAACUUUCCAAGGUAUUGUUCUAUUCUAGCAUACAAAACUUUGAAUAACACAAGUUAGAAUAACAUACCUUUUGUUGGUGCUUGUCUUCAUGAAGCUUGAGUGCCUAGUGCCCCAAGUGUGACACCUCAAAUGGUUCACACAACACCAUAAGCACUUGGAAUAACUUAGAGAGAAAUUAGAACACUUCAAGAAUCGGCUUGCCCUCCAUGCAUAUCUUGUGGCCGAUUUCUCACAUCAAUAAGAUGCUUAUAUAGUUGUUACAAUUAGGGUAAACCCUAAUUGUCAUGGCUUUCCAUUUCCUUGGAUCCAUGGGUUCAAAUACACCAUGGAGCAUCCAAUGGGUUUGAGCCCAACUUGAUAAUCCAUGGAGCAUUAGCCCACUAUAUAAGUAUGGAUGAUUUACACAAUCAACCCAUAUAUUUAAUUAGUCUUCUUUUGAUCACAUAAUUAAUUCUAAAUUAAUUAUUGAUCAAUACUAAUUAAAUAAUCUUAUUAAUAUAUUAGAACUUAUAAUAUAUUAAUAAACCUUAAGUGUUAUUUCUCUCAUUUUAGUCUAUCCAAGUGCAUGAUGCCAUGCAACCCAAAUGGACCAUGCCGGGUCGGGUCAAGUCUUACCAAUUAUAGUUAUGGACUUAGACAUUAAUCCAACAGUCUCCCACUUGGAUAAGUCUAAAACUAUUAUUGCGUGUAUGACUUCAGAACCCGACUAGCAAUCGUAGCUCUCAAAAGCUUCUGUCGAUCUCUGACCUUGUCGAUGAACUCUGACCUCUGUCAAUGACUUGUCCAUUAGAUAAGUGAUCAUAUAUUCCUCCAUUCUAGAUAUCAUAUGGACUGAGACAUGGAUUAUAAUCAUUCUCUCUGUCCAUUUGUUGUUUCCCGAUUUCUGAUUUAUGACGACUGACUAAUUGAACAAAUCAAAUCAGUCCAGGCCCGGCCGAGCACUUACUUUUGUCAUCACUAAAUCAUCGAGGGGCCCACAGAUAUCGCUUUUAUCCCGAAGGUAAAAGGAAUGGAUAAACUUCGACUCAUAUGCUUGUACUAACUAUUUGUUGAAUCAUACACAAAGGCACGUUUUAUAACAUCGAGUUACCAAUGCGUUUACGUGCAAUCAAUGUAUAACCAACUCAUAGUCAACAACUCAUAUCUCUAGGUUUGAAGAAUAUAAGAUAUUAUCGUCUCAUGAUUCACUCGUGAUAAAAUCCAUGAAGUGAAUCCAAAUGAGCGUGGGUUGAAUCCAAUACUCAGCCCUUAUGAGUACUCAUGAAUGUUGUAGCAACUAUUGCAUUGUCUAAAGCACUUUAGACAAAUCAUACAAGCCAAAUUCACGACAGUCUUGAUUCAUAUCUACUUCCAACAUAUGACCGACUGUGGAUGGUUUGAAUAACUUGGUCAUUCGGGAGAAUGACCUAGUUAUUCUGGAAGUCAAAACAUGCAAAGUGAAACACAAAAUAAUACUAGUCCUAUAUGGCCUCAACACUUUGAGCGUAAAUAAAACACCUUUUAUCUAAGCACCAUAUUGAUCACUCAUUAUUCAUGUUUCGAUUAAUCAACUUAAUACUUGAAUUGAAACAGUAGUGAUGCCAUGCUCCAAGCAUGCAUACUAUGUUUCUCUAAACAAUAGCUAUGCCAUACUCCAAGUAUGCACACUAUGUUUACAUAUGGUCAUCUCUUUGUGAAAUGUAUAUCAAUUGAACAUGACUUCAAUGAUUCUCAUUUCACAAUCCCAAUCCUUAUUGUAAAUGUAAGAAUACCAAGUUCUUGUCAUUUACCGUAAUCUAUGCAAUGAUCCUCUUGUAAUGAUAUUCACACAAGUCACAAAGACUUGGCAACAAACAUUACAAAGUAUUCCAAUGGAAAGCAAUUCCAUGGAGAUGAAGUCUCAAAUUCAAAGUACAUUCCUUUGAACAUCCUUCUUUGCAUUAAGUUCUUUAAUCUUACACAGAUUCAAAGAAUAACUUCCACCUAUGGAAACAAUUCCAUAUUCCCAUCUUGACCAUCACUUUUGAACAAGAGUUGCCUCUUUCCAAAAUAUGUCAAUACGAUCCUUACUCUAUACUUCCAAUUGUCCAUGAGUAACCAAACUUUGGAAAACCCCAAAUUGUUCUCGACAAUUGCUUAAUCAUCUUAGUCAUAUCCAGUUCUAAUCCCUUUUCCCUUCUUAACGCCCUAAGCAUUAGGAAAAUUUAGAAUGGAUGAAUAUUAUAACACAUGCAAUCGAUCCUAUAUCCGAAGCAUAUGGGAUACGAUUCAUGCUAUAAAAUUUUUAUUUGCCAUGUUCUCAUAAUUCGAACUAUGAAGAGGGAUGCCGUAAUCAUAAUCGAAUUUUGAGAAAGCAACAUAUAUAGAAAUUCCUUAUGUUGAACCAUUCCAACAUAACAUUCAUAUAUAUUCUUGACUAAAGUUGAUUAAAAUCUCAAUCUAAGCUUGUAGAAUUGGAAUGAAGUAUAAAUUUCUCUCCCUUAAUUAUAGUAAAACAACUUUUUCAAAGCGAGUUGAAACUUUUGUUUUCUAUAAUUAACAUUGCUAACUUGCAACAUAAUCAUCAUGCUCCCACUAGCAUAAUGAUUAUUAUCUAACUAGCAUAACACUUUAUGCUCCCACUAGCUUUGACAUGUACCUAGAAAUCAGUCAGAUUUCUGAUACUAGAUUGCCUUGAUAAGACUUUAUCAAAUCAUACACCUGGAGUCUAAACCUUUCCUUAGAUAGCUCACAUGUGAGUCUAAACCUUUGCCAUUCUCAUUAGUUAGUGUGCCGGUUAACCACACACGCUCCACUAACGACAUGAGAAUGCAAACUUCACACUUGCUAUCCACUUAAAUCUACUUAGUGAAAGAGUUUCCUCACUAUCAUUUUCAUGAAUCGGAGAGAAACCUUAUGACACUUAGAUUUUGAUGGUGUAUGUGUUCCUAUCCAUGUGAAUUUGACAUAACCAUAAUCACACGACAAGGUUAAUGACAAAUCCAAAUUCAUAUGGACUGAACUUGUGCAGUCUUAAUUUCUUGCCACCUGGUAGCACAAGGGCCUGCCAUUGCUUCCAAGUUGUUAUGCAACCAGUUGAGAACUCUCAGAACUCCAAUGCAAAACCAACUUUAACUGGAAUGGGCACAGAAUAUGUCAACACGAUAGGUUACAAACCUCAAGUCGUGGUCUAGUGAUUAACAAAACUCUUGAUUAGUUCUUGAAUCUAUCUUAAGAUCCUUUUAAGACUCCCACUGACCUCUUGACAUAUAAGAUUCUCUUUGUCAAGAACCAUUCCUUGACAAAAACGAAUAUUCAAGAGUUAGUGCAGAUUCUUAUCAAGUUAAACACUUCUCACAAUUGGUCUUAGUUGGUCUUUGUUUUAUCCAAAACAUCACAACUUACCAAUUUCAAAUGUACAAGAGUAAGAACACAUUUUACUCUACAUUUAACAAGUGUUUUAAACCUUUCUUAAGAUUAUGUCACUCAAGGCUUAAUCUUGGAGUAUGACUCUAAGAUUUAAUUUUGGAACGAAGUAUAAUUUAUCUUUUGAUCUAACCAUUUCAACAAUUCACGAUUCCUCUCCUUAGCCAAACAAAAUGAACUAAGGUGUCCUUAGAGGAUCAAUUGUGACAUGGUUUCAUAAUCACUGAGAUAAUCAUAAAACAAGAUACUCAAGUACUCUCCCAUCUCUUCAGAUUAGAGAAACUUUUAUCUUUCUGCCUUAUUUGAUUCUUCUUACUCAUUAUGUCUAUCAUUGAAACUUCUCCAAUGAUCCAGAACUAUACUUAAACUUGUAAGUAUAACCAUAUUUACUAAACUUUAGUAAAUCAUAAUGAAUAAUCUUAUCAACUUUGUGGUGGACCUGAUCAGCGCACACCCAAGUGUAUCCGAUCCCUUUGUCCUUCACUUGAUUCACAUAUACAUGUGAACAAGGAAUUAGACUUAAUUUCCCAAAUAUA